CUCCUUCAAGGCUUCAAUACCACCAGAUCCCAGGUAUUCGAUUUUUGGGCUGCGGUCUGCAUCUUUGGAUUCUCUGCGACAGUGCGACUCCUUGAACUCUUGAAGGCUUCAAAUCUUGAAUCCCUGAUGCUCAGAUUCUCAGGGUGAGGUGACUGAGGUCGUAAUUGGGAAUGGGUUGAUGAGAUUCAUUGAUAUUAUGCAAGUUUGGCUAUAGAGACAUCAAAAAAAUAGCCCACCCCAUUUUGAAAUCCUAGCUACGUCCCUGCCUGCGAGGAUGAUUUCUGUAGAAAUCGAGAAUGAAGCACUGAUGUCGACUUGAAUAUCAGUGGAUGGGAAAGAUUUAUGGAGAGGACUUUUUUCAUAUACUACUCUGAAAAUGCGAUUCGAAAUCUCUUCUUCUUCUUCUACCCAGAUUCCUCUGCUCUCUCUCUCUGUUGAUCAAAAAACCAAAACAGAUCAAACGAACAAAGAGGUGCAAAUAGCUGGUUCGGACUCUCCUCCAGAGCCUUUGUUAAUCAACACCACAGGUUGCCAACACCUGUCCAUGGCAAUAGAGUAAAUCCUCAAAAAAUGAAAGGGCAAAAGAGCAACGACACUGUUUAAUGAACACUACAAAACCCCAUUCUGCUUUAGGAUAGUAUCCCACGUAGCAACGCAAGGCCAGUAGGCUGCUCUACUGUUCUAACCUGCAGGGUGUCACUGUCUUCUACUAGUUCUGGCUCUGAGCAUGGGAAUCCUACAUGAUCAGUGACUGCAGCAGCCAAACAGUUUGUCAUACCUGAACUGCACCAGAAAUUGGACAUCAUCUUUCAUCCAUAAACGGGGCCAGAAUAGCAGUGGCUUUGCAUAGUUAAUUUUCACUCUUAUGCUCAAAAUUCUAGUUCCGAAAGCAGGUCAAUCAUACUCUUUGAACUCCCCCAAAAUACUGUCAAUCAAUCUCAUGAUUCGUUCCGAUCUGAAAGCUAGAAGCACCCCAUGCAGUGUCAUCUAAUAGAACGACAUCUUCAAAGGCAUCAUUGCUGCUUAGCAUCAUAGUCUGCUAAUGCAAUUGGGGCACUGUUGAAACCCCAUGGACCUCCCUUCCAAACCCUAGGCUUAUCUGCCAGAUUUGUGAAGGAGAAAAAAAUCCGGUCAUCUUCACCAACCUCCUCAACUCGGAGAGUACCAUUUACUCUCCAUGCAUAUAUGAACAUACAUAGAAAAGAGCGACGAGAAUACUCCCUCGCCGUGAGAAGCUUGCCAACCAAGAAGACUUCUGGUUGUCACAAACCCUUGGAUGGACAGAGGUCCACCAGUUUCUUCCCUUCUGCUAUGGCAAGGGAGGAUGCAAGGCGUGCUGCCAUGGACUCAAUUGAAGCCAUUGAUGUUAGAAAGAAGGCUACACAAAUGCAAAGGAGAAAAAAAAAAACCCUACCCCUAGGUUAGAGAGAUGCUGCCACGGCUAGUAUAUUUGUCUUAAAAUUGAGUUCUUCGAGUUUAGGUGGGAAAAACUACUUUUCAUCUAAACUUAUUUGUUCAAGACGCUAUCAUUUUCUGAAUUUAUUAAUCUUUUCCCUUUACUUGUAACUCUCACUAUCGACACAGUGACCUUUUGGUGAAAACUUGUGCAAAAGUUCUUACUUCCCAUCAAACAAUGAACCCAAACCAAAGUAUUGGUAUGAGACAUGAAAUACAAUCGAUAUUAUCUAUAUUUUUCAAUCAAACAUGCGGAAAUGGUCCACCUCUCUUUAAAAUCUAGAUCGAGAAUAGCUUCUUCCAUUCAAAUGGUGGCUUCUUCACUCACAUAAAAGUGGUCACAGUAGAUCUUGUCUUCUUAAUUAUUAAGAGUAAAAGAGUAAAAGUGCUCGUUACAAAAGACCACAUUGUUAUAAUUCUUAAAGGGGCCAUGACCACUUACCCAAUUUUAACCUCAAAAUUGUCCACUUACUCCACUAAGAGCUUUUUAUCCUCAUUCACCCAAUUUAACAUUUAAUGACAGUUUUGCCCUAUCAAUUAAACUGAAACUCAUCGAUCUCUCUCCUCUCUCACUCUCUUAAUUUCCUCCCAAACUCUCUCUCUUUCCCUCCCUCCCUCCUCCCCCUUCAGCACCGUCGUCGAGGCCCAAUCCGAGGCCAUCGUAAUCGCAUCGUCGUUGACACUCAAAUCGGUCCGACAUUAAGGCUCUCAAUCCGUCGUCGUGCAGCACGGUUUCGACUGAAACAAAGACUCCAACACAGUCGUCGAUGCACAAAUCAGAGGUCACGGAUGUGGCGACACCAUGUAAUUCCUUUUUGUCUACUCUCUAAGAGGAGCUUCUCUCUGUCGCCAUCGUUAGAGACUGGUAAGACCAAGAUUCAACCUAUUGAGUGAUUCUGAAGAGGAAGCACACAGUUGAGUGAAUCAUGCCUCUUGAUGCAGCUUGGAGAAAGUGAAAACUGAGAUCAUGAACAUGAUAUCUAACUUCUAAUGUACUAUAAAGGAGGAUCUUUAUUUUGAAAGUAGGAAUUUAACAUAGGGAUUUCGAAAGUAGGGAUUGUACAUUCUCCUAUGCAAUUUAUUCUUCAAUUACGAUGAAAUGAUACGA